rnacentral:rRNA from 1 species
GCCACUGCUAUCGGAGUUCGAUUAAGCCAUGCGAGUCGAGAGGUGCAAGACCUCGGCAUACUGCUCAGUAACACGUGGACAAUCUAACCUAAGGUGGGGGAUAACCCCGGGAAACUGGGGAUAAUACCCCAUAGACUAUGAAUGCUGGAAUGCUUUUUAGUCGAAGGGUCAGCCGCCUUAGGAUGGGUCUGCGGCCGAUUAGGUAGUUGUUGGGGUAACGGCCCAACAAGCCUGUAAUCGGUACGGGUUGUGGGAGCAAGAGCCCGGAGAUGGAUUCUGAGACACGAAUCCAGGCCCUACGGGGCGCAGCAGGCGCGAAAACUUUACAAUGCGGGAAACCGUGAUAAGGGAACUCCGAGUGCCCGUUAAAUCGGGCUGUCCAUCAGUUUAAAAAACUGGUGAAGAAAGGGCCGGGCAAGACCGGUGCCAGCCGCCGCGGUAAUACCGGCGGCUCGAGUGGUGACCACUAUUACUGGGCUUAAAGGGUCCGUAGCCGGCCUGUUAAGUCUCUUGGGAAAUCUGGCGACUUAAUCGUCAGGCGUCCAAGAGAUACUGACAGGCUUGGGACCGGGAGAGGUGGGAGGUACUCCAGGGGUAGGGGUGAAAUCUCGUAAUCCUUGGGGGACCACCGAUGGCGAAGGCAUCCCACCAGAACGGGUCCGACGGUGAGGGACGAAAGCUGGGGGCACGAACCGGAUUAGAUACCCGGGUAGUCCCAGCUGUAAACGAUGCUCGCUAGGUGUCAGGUGCGGUGCGACCGCAUCUGGUGCCGCAGUGAAAACUUGAAGCGAGUCACCUGGGAAGUACGGUCGCAAGGCUGAAACUUAAAGGAAUUGGCGGGGGAGCACUACAACGGGUGGAGCUGCGGUCAAA